UGUGGAGUUUGUACAUUCCCCCCAUCUCUGUGUGGGUUUCCUCCGGGUAUUCUAGGUGCUAGAGUAGAGAUGUGUGUCUGGGUGGGAUGUUCUUUGGCGGUUCGGUGUAGACCUGAUGGACUAAAUGGCCUGAUUCCACACUGCAGGAUUUCUAUGAUUUUUAUUCUAAGAGCAGUUAGAGGCUAGGAAUACUACAGUGAGUAACUCAUCUCCUGACUCCCCAAACUCUGUCCUAGCAGAUGAUUUUCAUCCAGCCCCUGAUAUGGGGACCCACCAUAUUAAACUUCAUCCCAUUGCCCACCCAGCUCCUCUAUGAUCCCCUUGUGGAGGACAUGGUGGUGGUCACUGCCAUAACACUUUUCCUGCAGUCUAUCAUGUCCUCUGGUUCUGUGGGACAUACCCCACUUCAGCCCUCCUAUACCUUUGAGUUUCCCCUGUCACUGCAUUUGUCCUUACCUCUGUAAAUGGCCCCGCUUUCUCCCUCAUUCCUUCUGGCAGUGAUCUCGCUGCUAUUGAUACUGGCUGUACUUGCAGCCUUCUUAAUCAUCAAGGGAGGGAGGUUGCUAGUAUGCAAGCAGACGCUAAGUGAGUGAUCACUUAGAGAGUGAGCAGGCAGCUCUGAGAUGCAGCCUGGUCCAUUCUGUGAGCUGGGUGCCUGUCCAUGGGUGCAAAAUGUCCUUGCAGCAGCCUUUCAAUGCUAGUUGCCCCACAAUGCAGCUGUGUGUUUUCUGAGCAUCCCACCUGUGUACAGAGGAUUUGCCCUGAUGGCCAAGAGGUCUGCCAGUGUGCCAAUGUCUAUGAAUGAGGGCUAGUGCAGUUGGUGCCCACAAGAUGCUGUUUGCUCCUAAGCAACAAGGAGUUCCUUUGGAAAAAAAACAGCAAGCUGAAGUCACCAGGUACAUGCUGUCAUUUUCAUGUUGGGAUUUCCUCACUUCUGGCUUGUUCGGCAUAUUUGGUAAGAAAGGAAGCUAAAUAUUAACAAGAUUGGUUGAACUAUUAACAAGGCAUUCAACAGCAAUAAUCCCCCUUAACUGACAACUCACCACUACUUAGCAAAACACUUGCCGCACUGCUAGGCAAAAGCCCAAAAGACGGCAUGAGAUGCUACCGACAUCGAGAAUGGCUUCCCUGGAUGUCAGUUCCUUUCUGUCAGGUACAAUUGAAGCGCAACAGCAUGACUGACUGCAGGACUAAUGUGCCAGUGUUGGAAUUGGAUGUAAAAUGACAUUGGGACAAUUACCCGUGUCUCUCUGAAAAUGAACCACUGAGAGAACUGACCAGUACUUCAAGAUUUUGUUCCAAGAGACAUGAAUUUACAUCUUGGCCUGGCAACAAUUUGGUUUGAUUCUUGGUUUGUUUUUUAGGUUAUAGUACAUCUUCGAAAAGUGACCCCUUUUUCUAUAAUGAAUACAUUGUUAGUGCAAGACUGGAUGGCAUUGUCUUUAUGGAUCUGGGAUUUUGAAGCCACACAUGUGACUAUAACAUUAGCUUACUUGGGAUUUCACAUUGAUAUUGUCACAUACUGAAUGGUUUUCAAAUAAAUGU